rnacentral:ncRNA from 1 species
UAAAAAGCAAUGACCGUGUAUAGUAGAGACUCAUUUUCUAUCAGAGAGAGAGAAUCACUGGCUGAAAGUUCUCUUUAGUUCAGAUGACGAUCGAAUUUCCCGCGCGAGCUGUAUUCCUGAACCCAUGUAUCCGGGCGUCUGAGAUGGCGGAUACGCUGAGUAUUUUAGUAAGUAGGGAAUGCCGUAGUUUGUACGUUACACAAAGACAGAGCGCCCGUGGAGUAUCCAUGGGAAUCAGGGUGGUACCGCGGAUCAUGACUUCGUCCCUUUU